GACGAACGCUGGCGGCGUGCUUAACACAUGCAAGUCGAACGAAGUGGCGCACGGGUGAGUAACGCGUAAUCAACCUGCCCUUCAGAGGGGGACAACAGUUGGAAACGACUGCUAAUCCCGCUUACUGAAGGAGGGGUUUGCGUCUGAUUAGCUAGCUGGAGGGGUAACGGCCCACCAAGGCGAUGAUCAGUAGCCGGUCGUAGAGGAGGAACGGCCACAUUGGGACUGAGACACGGCUCAGACUCCUACGGGAGGGAGCAGUGGGGAAUCUUCCGAAAUGGACGAAAGUCUGACGGAGCAACGCCGCGUGAGUGAUGACGGCCUUCGGGUUGUAAAGCUCUGUUAAUCGGGACGCGGUACCGGAAUAGAAAGCCACGGCUAACUACGUGCCAGCAGCCGCGGUAAUUC
rnacentral:rRNA from 1 species